UUUUUCGUAGUGUAGUGGUUAUCACGUCUGUUUUACACGCAGACGGUCCCUGGUUCAAGCCCGGGCGAAACCU